rnacentral:rRNA from 1 species
CAGCAGCCGCGGUAAUACGUAGGGGGCAAGCGUUAUCCGGAUUCAUUGGGCGUAAAGCGCUCGUAGGCGGUCUGUUAGGUCGGGAGUUAAAUCCGGAGGCUCAACCUCCGCCCGCUCCCGAUACCGGCAGACUUGAGUUUGGUAGGGGAAGGUGGAAUUCCUAGUGUAGCGGUGGAAUGCGCAGAUAUUAGGAAGAACACCAGUGGCGAAGGCGGCCUUCUGGGCCAUAACUGACGCUGAGGAGCGAAAGCUAGGGGAGCAAACAGGAUUAGAUACCCCCGUAGUCCCUGUCUCUUAUACC